AUAAAGUAUAUCAAGAAAAGUAUUGGUUAUUGAUAAUGUUUGCGUAUAAAAAAUUUUCUAAAAUUUUUAUAUCGUAGAAUUUGAUAUUGUUAUAAUCGAAAAUUCAAGUUAAAAACUCGUACGUUAAUUAACUAAAUACUUUUAUCGUGCUUUUAUCGCGAGAAUAAUAAAUAAUUGCAAAUUAAUAGCGUAGAAUGGUUACUACAAUUCUAAUUAAAUGAAUGUUUAACGACUUCUACUCGUUCACUCGUAAUAUCAAUUCAAGCCAGAAACUAUGGCUAGCAACUAUCUUAUAUCUAUAUGUUAUAGUGCAAUUCGAUCGUAUCAUUCCACCAGUUAUGAAUCAUUUCUACACAGGAAUCUCAAUUACGAUAUUAACCUACAUAUUAUUUCUUAAUUCUAAUCUAUGUCUCAAUUAAAAUUAAAUGUAGUUUAAUACAUUGUACAUAUUUCAAUUUCUAUCGAGUAAUUGAUCUUUAAUGUUUUUACAAAUUUUUUUCUUUCAAAUUCUGCGAGCGCAUUAAAUUUCGAAUAAACUUUAAUUAUUGUAUAUAUUUAAUUAUUAUUAGGAGAUUGUAUAAAUAGAUGAAUUGUUGCAAUUUCUGCGAAUUCGUCCUGUGAUAUUUCAAUUAAAUAAAACUGUUACCUAAGAGACUAUUUUAAAAUAUACCGCUCAGAACAAUUAAUAUGUCACGUUUCUAGAUAAUUUUGGAGGAUGAACAUCAGAGUACUUGGCAUAAUAGUAAAUUUAUUUUUACCUUUAAUACCAGUCUAAUAUUUCAAUUUCUAAUAUUUAAUUCAUCGCACAAUAGAUUUUUCUUCGCAUAAUCAUCUCUUACAAUUACUCUAUUUAUUCUUGAUCGUUGCAUUUUAACCUAACCUAAAAAAAAAAAAAAAGGAUAAAAAUUAUAUCUAAAAAUUUCACUUCAUCCAAUUACGUCUUUACAUAUUAUUAUUGAUAUAAAACAAUUUUAUUUCCAACUUAAGUCUUCUCAAGUAAACUCUCAUUUAUUGAAUUUCUCGAAAUCUCAUUGAAGUAGAACAUCGUCGAAUGUUUCCACUUUCCAGCCUCCGUCGUUCCGUGGUCGGCAAUGAAAGAAAGACAAGAUCUCGAAAAAGGGAUUAACAAGAACUGGUCUUAAUUACACUUAGGCGACGGUUAAUUUUAGAAAGGCGCGGGCCAAACAAACCGAGAAUGGUGUUGCAUGGCAGUGUGCCCCGGCUUGAUUCGUCACUGGCUGCAACAUAGGCGCCACUGGCCGCGUGUACAUCGGCUGUUAUCGCGGGUAAACACCGGUUGGCUCUAAAACCCUCUCUCGACGUGGUUCCUAUCGCUCGGUCUCGCCUCGGCUGUUCAAUUAAAUGCACCCACACGUGCACCAUAUACGCGUAACGUGCUCGUACACACGGAAGAAAUUCUCCUUGCAAGGUGACCGACUGAUUUUCCUGGUAAUAUCGUGUGUCCGAAGAAACUGACCUCUUUCGUAAGAGCGAGAAGUUUACUGCGUGUUUUACUUACGUUUUCAAAUUGUUAUGAAUACGGUUGCGUAUGAUUGGUAGAUGUUUGAACUUUUUUUUUUUCUUCAUCUUUAUUCCUUUCAGUCUUUUGAAUAUCGAGAUUAAAAUUACACGUUAGUUUUUUUGAAAACGAUCGUUUCAAAUUUCCGAGAUUUAUUGCGAUUUAUCUUCUAAUCUGCGAUGUUUAUUAUGGAUUUACUUUUUAAUCUCUUUCAGAUUGAAAUUGUUAUAUGUUAAAUAUUCGUUUGUAUCUAUAAAAAUACAAAAAAUUGUAAUAUAUGGGAUGUGAAUCGAAGAAUUAUUUCUAAAAAUUAAUAUUAGUAUCCAUAUAUAUUAAAUAUUUUCAAAACUUGACAUCUCAUCGAAUUCAAAAUAAAAAAAAAUCUCGACUAUCACUCGAAUCGUACAAUAUUAAAUCAAGAAACUCAUUUUAUCAUAUCGAGUCACGAGCGAUAGAAUUCCAAGUUCCACGAAUUUUUCACGAUAAUAUAUCAAAAAGCUCAACUCUGGACGCCAUGUUAUCGCGUCAAGUUUACAGUAAACGAAUCUGAAUUUCAACUAAAAUUUAAACAAAAAAGAUACACCGAAUAGUGUCCAACUUCCAACGACAUCUUAUCGUAUUUGAUUUAAAUUGAGAAAAAAAGAAAAUCUUGAGGAAAAACUCUGGUUCCCAAUAUUGAUGAAAAGUUGGCGAUAAUAGAAGACGGAAUAUCUCCACAGUUUUUGAUACAGCCUGUAUAGAAGCGCAGAGCCGGCAAACAGGCACGUAGAUCGAAAGGCAAACAAUCAGAAGUUUACCGUCGGUGGCCGGCUUUCUCGUGCGCUACGCGUGUCGUUAGGUAUGCGACACGUAUGGUAUACCUACACCGAGGCGCACGGUCGUAGAAAGGCCGUUUGAAGGACAAGGGUCAUGUCUGACGCCGAUAUACAUAUAUAGGCGACACGGCCACUGCCUUUACUGCUUUACCUUUACUACCACGCGACCGACCACAUGUGCAUGCGCCUUUCUGCCUUCCGCCGCACUCUUGUUCCAGCUGCACUGCCAUACGUCACGCUGGAACGGCCCUGCGAGAUCUUUUCACGGAUAUUAAAGAUAAAAAAGGAAAGAAAGAAAGUUUUACUCUUGAUAAUUGGAAUUUAACGAUCGGCUCGUUUGAGAGGAGAAUUAUUUUUCUUGCAAGUUUAAACCGAGGUGAGAGUUACAUUUUUUUGCAGUUUGAUAAGUAUUUGCACAAUGACUAAAGUUUCGAAAAAGUUUCGAAUUUGGACAGACGUUUGAAAAUGUUUAUUACUUCUUAUUUGAUAUUUCGAAUUGUGUGAUUCGCGCUUUAUUUUAAAUUCUCGUUAUCUUUUGAAACUAAAAUUUCUCUUGCCAAUAUAGAUAAUCAGCUACUGUAAAAUAAUCGUUUCAAAUUUACCGCCUUUAAGAUCUCGUACUAGAGAUACGUACUAGGGAUUUUCUAGGAAUAUUAAAAACACCAUUUCUACGAUUAUCAUAAUGGAGAACAACUUUCUUAAUUUCCUCCAAUCACGAAUCUCGAUCCACCUCGCUUAUGAAUUACCUUGAGGAAAAAAAGAAACAGACCGAGGAAACUUAAAAUCCUAACCUCAAGCGCUCAACUUCAAGAGAGAAUUUCGAGCGGAAAGAGAUGCCUCUCGUGUAUUUACGAUACGCGUUAUCGCUUGAAACAACACACCACCACUAUUAAUAACAAUUAUAUAUCAGCAGGCCAGUAAUGCUAUUUUCUUUCGCAUUCUCGCGAUUCUUUCGUUCCUGAUAGCGGCGCGUGCGCCGACUACGCACCGCGAUCGCACGCACCGUGUGCAUCGUGCGUGCGUACACGCGCCUUCUCUAUCGCGGGUGCACCUACAUACGUAACGUGGUUAGCCGGCUUGGCCGUGCCAAGGUUGGGAACCUUAUCUAAGAGCUCAGGGUGUUUGACCCAACUGGGAAAACACAUUGGCACUCGACGCGUUGCACACACUUCUCGUCACAUGGUUUCACGCUCGAUUCUCGCACCGAGUCUCAUUCACGAUCGACCAGGGAAUUACAAGAAAGUACGAAACCAUCUCUUCUCUUUUUCCUUUUCUCUCUUCGUGGUUGUUGUAUUCGUAACGAACGUGUCGAGGACAGAGAGGAUAGGAUGGAGUAGAAUUUAAAAUGAGGAUUCGAGGUACGGGAGUAAAAGCGAAUCUCUAAUGUGUAUGUGUAUCUUUUUGUGUUUGAAAAUAAACGGAGGAGGGAAAAGAGGAUUUUGUGAAAAAUUUAAUUGAUAAUCGUUAAGAAAAAAAGAGAUACCUCGAAAAUGAUGAAAUGUGUGGUUAUAUAUCGUAGAUAUAAAAUUGUAUGCAAUAUGAGAACUUUUAAGUAUUCUCUUUCUUGGGAGACGAACAGUCGAGGUCUGAUCAUAACGGCAUUAUCUACUUAAUUCUUUAAAUCAUCAUGGGGAUUAAUCGUGUAUUUAAAAGAACAUUUUAUUACUAAUUUUAUUUCAAUAAUUUAAAAAUUUAAUGAUUAUUUUGACCGAUUUGAGUAUUUUUUGAUAACAGUAGAUUAUUUUGAUACACGAUACAAAUUUGAUAUAAACGAAUCGAAUUGAAAUGAAAACAAAUUAAAGAUUGCAAUUAAAAUUUUUAUCUCGACGUCCGAUUAGUUUUGAUAUUUUCUACUUGCACUAUCAUUCGCAAGUAUAGGAUAUUCUUUAAACACCAUUCAUAAAUGCCAAUCAAGAAGAAAUAAUAUUUGACUAAUCGCACUAAAUCUAGUGUCGAUAUUAUUCAUUAAUUAAUAAAAUUAUCGAUAUCUCGAAUCAAAUUUAACUUUCUGAAAAAUAAUCGUAAAAAAAAUAUACAAAAUAUGAUACAUUUUUUUUUUUUAUUAAAAGUAAAAAUAUAAAUUUUAAAUUGAAAUUAAAGAAUUGAAGAAAUUUAUUAAAGAGAAAUAAUUUGUUUCUUUAAGUAUUAAAUCUAAAGUAUUUCGAAUGAUAGCAAAUCUAAAAGAGAUAGAAUCAUUGCAAUAGAUUAGGAAGUAUGGCAUCUUUUAAUACGGAUUUAUCGCCAAGGCUGUUUCUGUAGGUCGUGAGAAUUUCGAAAUAUUCCACGAUAAACUCAAUGAUGCACGCUAUCUCAGACACAGCGAUUAGCUUUAUCAGGUGAAAAUAUCAUCUGUAAAUCUGUGAUUUCAUCAGAAGGACGAUGUGGAUACGAUCGAUACAAACAGAUAAUUAUUAAUCGCAGAAAACUCGAGAUCCAAAGAACCUCAGUUUGAUUAGUUUCACCAGACAGUUUUAUGUGCGGUAUAUCGAUUAAAACAGAUGUUUAAAGUUUUCUCGUAUAUUUCGUAAUUGCGAUAAUGACGAACUUUUUAUAUGAACUGUUUACUUUUGCUUCUUUUUGCAACGACGAACUUAACGAUUAAAUAAUGAUUAUUGAAAUCACUGGUAUUAUAUUAACGUAUUGAAAUGCAUCUCUUUCAAUUUUUUUGAAGGAAAAAAUUUUGUUUCGUAGACAAUCGUUAUGUUAAUUUAUCAACAAGAUAUCCAAAAAUUACUAGAACAUAGAUCGAGUCUCUUAUAUUCUAUAUUCAUCAUGUUUAUACUCACUUGUAUCGCGGACAGAGAUACACAUUUGAAAAAUUCAAGAGAUCAUAAUUAAAACGUUGUUUUCGAUUGCCUGACAAUCGUUGAUAUAAAGCGUUGGAAGAUUGCCCAAUUUUAGUCAACGAAUUUUCCGCUGGUAAAGGAAAGAUUCCCCCUCAUCCAUAAGUGUGUAAUCGCGUUCAACUCGACUUCUGGCAAGGAUUUCCUCGUGGAACCAAACUAAUUUCGAUCUCGCCACGUGCUUCCUUCUUUGCGCCCUUCUUCCCCCUUUCCCUUCGCCGCCGGAGAAUUUAUUAGCAGUCGUUAUUUACCCCCUACGAAUCUUCCGCUCGUAUACAAAUGAUUUAUGGCCGGUCGUUUCUGCGAAUUCUCGCGCGAUACGUGCUUUUUAUACCAUUUCAAUUUAUCCCCUCGCGACGACACCCUCGAAUCGGAAGACUCCCGGAUCAGAAGUGGCUCGACUAUAGAAAAUGGUCGGGCGUGGAUCACAUGCUCUUAAUUGCGUUAAAAGCCAUCCAUCAUCCCUACGUUUUCCCCUUUUCUUCGUUUCGCGAAGAAGAUUUAUAUGGCUCCGCCUUACACACGCAGCUUCUUUAGAUAUCGAUGCUUUUCUGCAAUAAUGAAAAUUAUAAAUGGGAUAAUAUUCGUUAAAGACAAAUUGGAGGUUCCUAGAUUUCAACAUCGGAAUUAUUAUACUGGAAAUUUUCACGACAAAGAGUUUUCUAUGGAAAUAAUUGCAAUUAAAAAUAAUCGUACGCAUCCCGAAAAAAUACUUUGCAAUCCGCGUGAGAAUUUCAACUCGGGCAAUUAUGAAUGCAGAUUUUAAAAUCAUAUCGCAAUAAUAUCUCGAGGCACAUUGUUUUUUCCCUUAUUGACGUUUUCACACACUUUGCUGCGAAUAAUUGGUAUGCUAUUGUAGAACAGAUUCUCGGGGUUCCGCGAACGUCCACGAUUUCCUGAACCGUUAGAAAAAUUUUCUGCACCCAUACUGGAGAGGUCUCGGAUCGCUCGAUGGUCGAUUGAUUAUGAAUCGCGCGUUGCGAAUCGUCUGGCAAAUGGCAUCGCGAAAGGAGGCUAGUGUAUUUAGUACUUCGUGAGGCCAUGAAACCGUAAUGUCAUGAAUUUUUUUUCUGUUAAUUCUGUUCAAUUAUUGAAUAAAUUACUAUUUAUAAUUCGUUUCUAAGUAA